rnacentral:rRNA from 1 species
GAUGAACGCUGGCGGCGUGCCUAAUACAUGCAAGUCGAGCGAACGGACGAGAAGCUUGCUUUUCUGAUGUUAGCGGCGGACGGGUGAGUAACACGUGGAUAACCUACCUAUAAGACUGGGAUAACUUCGGGAAACCGGAGCUAAUACCGGAUAAUAUUUUGAACCGCAUGGUUCAAAAGUGAAAGACGGUCUUGCUGUCACUUAUAGAUGGAUCCGCGCUGCAUUAGCUAGUUGGUAAGGUAAUGGCUUACCAAGGCAACGAUGCAUAGCCGACCUGAGAGGGGGAUCGGCCACAAUGGAACUGAGAAACGGUCCAGACUCCUACGGGAGGCAGCAGUAGGGAAUCUUCCGCAAUGGGCGAAAGACUGACGGAGCAACGCCGCGUGAGUGAUGAAGGUCUUCGGAUCGUAAAACUCUGUUAUUAGGGAAGAACAUAUGUGUAAGUAACUGUGCACAUCUUGACGGUACCUAAUCAGAAAGCCACGGCUAACUACGUG